CAAACUACGUGAUUCGAUGUAAUCGGAUGGUGCGUAGUUACUGUAGUAAUACGGUAAAAGAAAAUCUCGCUAUAUGCUGGAACACCUUGAUAUGUCCGCGAAAUAGUUUUGCGAAAGCAAGCAUGUAUCAAGACAAUCAGCAGGCAACCUCCGCCUUCAUUUAUAAUGAAAGGAUGGCGGGGAGAGUCCUCAGAGACUACACGCGAGACCCCCAAUCUGUGGGGUGAUGAUAUAGUCCAAAGUUCGCUACAAAAAAUUGU
rnacentral:ncRNA from 1 species